AACGAACGCUGGCGGCAGGCCUAACACAUGCAAGUCGAGCGCCCUUUCGGGGGAGCGGCGGACGGGUGAGUAACGCGUGGGAAUAUGCCCUUCUCUACGGAAUAGCCUCGGGAAACUGAGAGUAAUACCGUAUACGCCCUGAGGGGGAAAGAUUUAUCGGGGAAGGAUUAGCCCGCGUUGGAUUAGGUAGUGGGUGGGGUAAUGGCCUACCAAGCCGACGAUGCAUAGCUGGGUUGAGAGGAGGAUCAGCCACACUGGGACUGAGACACGGCCUAGACUCCUACGGGAAGGAGCAGUGGGGAGUCUUAUACAAUGGGGGCAACCGUGAUCUAGCCAUGCCGCGUGAGUGAUGAAGGCCUUAGUGUUGUAAAGCUCUUUCAGCUGGGAAGAUAAUGACGGUACCAGCAGAAGAAGCCCCGGCUAACUCCGUG
rnacentral:rRNA from 1 species